UGGGGAAUAUUGCACAAUGGGCGCAAGCCUGAUGCAGCCAUGCCGCGUGUGUGAAGAAGGCCUCGGGUUGUAAAGCACUUUCAGCGAGGAGGAAGGUGGUGAACUUAAUACGUUCAUCAAUUGACGUUACUCGCAGAAGAAGCACCGGCUAACUCCGUGCCAGCAGCCGCGGUAAUACGGAGGGUGCAAGCGUUAAUCGGAAUUACUGGGCGUAAAGCGCACGCAGGCGGUUUGUUAAGUCAGAUGUGAAAUCCCCCGGGCUCAACCUGGGAACUGCAUUUGAAACUGGCAAGCUAGAGUCUCGUAGAGGGGGGUAGAAUUUCCAGGUGUAGCGGUGAAAUGCGUAGAGAUCUGGAGGAAUACCGGUGGCGAAGGCGGCCCCCCUGGACGAAGACUGACGCUCAGGUGCG
rnacentral:rRNA from 1 species